UAAUAUGAUGUUGUUAUUUUUCGUCUCUGUCAUUUAUGAUGAAAGCUAAAGUGCUGAAAUUCAUUUGUU
ensembl:snoRNA snoRNA:CD-24